ACGCAGGGGCACAUGUGUGUCUUUUCUUUCUGUCCUGAGGCCAUCUGUACAGUGAUGUAGUUUUCUUUUUUUCCAUCUUGUUUCCUUUACUUCGUAAAUCUACGUACUGAAUAUACUGUACCCCUCCUGGAAAAACAGCACAGUAGAAAACUUCAGUGGUUUAUAAACAAACAAAAAAAAUUUUUUUUUGGCUGCACCUGCGGCACGUGGAAGUUCCCUGGGCCAGGGAUCGAACCCAUGCCGGAGCAGUGACCAGAGCUGCUGCAGUAACAGCAUCAGAUCCUGAACCUGCUAUGCCACAGGAGAACUCUAAUAUAAUCAAAAAUUUGAAACCUACUGUCAAAGUGCAAGAAAUUACAGUGGAGGCUGGGGGAUUUGUUUUGUUUUUGUUGCUGUUGAUGCUGUUUUGGUUUUGAGCAGAAUGUAUCCUCUCGUUCAUGGGGUUUUAAGGGAAAAGACAAUUUCUCAUUCUCUGCAGUACAUUUCCUGCUGCCAUCACUCUCCUUCUGCUCUGAGAUGUUUAUUUCACCACCAUUCAUCUUUCUUGAUUGGUUUUGCUUUUCUUCUUCUAAGAGGUUGCUAAAUUUGCUUGUAAAGUUUUGUUUAUUCAUUGGCGCUCAGUUGAAAGGUGCUGGAUCAUUAAUCUAACUAUUCAAGGUUAACCAUGCUUUAUGCUGAAAUUGCCUUUUAUGGAACAGAUUUCAAGGUCUUGCCAGAGUUGAGUGCUACCUCAUUUUUGACAUUUUCAGCAACGAAUCCGGUUCAAAAUGUGAUUUGAAUCCAAUCAUCAUCUUAUUUGUGGAGAAAGAUAAAUAUAAUAUACAAAUAUUGCAGUAAAAUUGCAUUCCUCCCACCCGCCCCUCUCAGACAUUCCUGAUUGAGGUAGCUUUUGCCAGGGUGGCACUGAGAAAUGUCACUCGUACUGUGGUUCUGUCUUGCCUUGUUCUCUCUGUGUGUAUUUCCCUCCCAGGAGGCUUAUGCCUGUUUUCUUUACAUCUUACAUAAGUUGUUCGGGGCUCCUCAAGAAGGUAUGUUGAAGGGAGUUCCCUUCAUGGCUCAGCGGUUAACAAACCUGACGAGGAUCCUUGAGGAUGCAGGUUCAAUUCCUGGCCUUGCUCAGUGGGUUAAGGAUCCACUGUUGCCACAAGCGGUGAUGUAGGUUGCUCAGAUCCCACAUUUCUGUGGCUGUAGGCCAGUGGCUGUAGCUCUGAUUCGAUCCCUAGCGUGGGAACUUCCAUUUGCUGCAAGUGCAGCCCUAAAAAGCAAAAAAAAAAGGGGGGGGCGGUUAUGUUGCAGAAGAAAUGAAGCUCACACAAUGACUCCCGUGCCUUGGUGAAUCUCAAAGGACUCCAGAGGUUACCUAAUUCAUCUGGUUGGGCCAUCAAAGAUUUCUUUCCUUGAAGGAACGAAAGGAAAAUUUAAUAAUCUUCCAGGCCUCUUUGGAAGCGUAUGAACAAGUUUCUAAGUACCUCCGUGACGUAGUGUUUGGAUGUGGCAUUUUAAUUAAAGAUCCAGGCAGCCAGCUUUGUUGUUUUGAGGCUCUGUGGUAGCCUACAGUUCCUACCUAACCCUGCGGAGGUCUCGUGCAGCCCCUGUCCUGGGGACACAGUUCUCAAUUUUAUCUGGCGGGCGGGUUCUCAUGAUCAUAUGAUCAUAGGUCAAACUUCCGGCAGCUUCAUUUGGGCAGGACACUUUGGCCCAUCACCCCAGUACCCAUAGGGGUCAUUCUUCUUCUGCAGAGCUUUCCUUAACCUUUGAGACUCUUUCCUCCUGUCACUUCUCAUCUCCUUCUUAUUGUGUAUUUACUUAUCAUUCGUGAGUCCAAGCCCUUCUGCAACCACUCGACAAGAUAAUUACUGAAGCUCUACUUCGUCCCGAUGAUGUAGAUGCAGCGAAGUGAUUCCUGCCCUCGUGCAGCUGAUGACCUAGUGGGAGGGACAGAAAACCAACUGCAGAUAAAUGGACACACAAAUAGGGCAGUCACAAGAUGUGGAAUGUAUGUGAAGGAAACCAAGGCAUCACAGAGGGAGGCACAAGAAGUUUUUCAGCUUUUUUUUUUUUUUUUUUUAAUUUCUCUAGUCCCUGAAAUAGUGUCUGACACAUAGUUUGUACUCAGUAAUUAUUGGUUACAUAAAUGUUUGUGGGAGAUGGGCUUUUUGGGGUAGGGAAGCCCACAAAGUUCUCUGAGGAUCUGUUUGAAUAGAAAACAAAAGAGCUAUUCAUGAGAAGACAGAGGGGAGCAAGGGUGUUGAUGGUGAGAAAGGCCAAGAGCUGGGAGGAGCUUGGAUUGUUUGAGAAUGUGCAGAUUAAAGAAGCGGUAGGGGUGAAGGGUGCAGAGAAAGGGGUUAGGGUGAUGGAAGAUGCCCAGAGGUGAGGCUCCAGAAGUACCCAGAGACCAUAUAAUGGGACUCACAGCAAGGUUUGGGAAAGACACUUAGCCUUUAUCCAAAUGGCUAAGGGAAGCAAUGGAAGGCUUGGUACAGCCAAGCUUUAUUGGUGGCCCCCCUAAAGCUCAGCCUUUCAGGACUAGUGGCCCUGAAGAAUGAACACUACUUGGUGUUGAGAGUAAGGUGUUUUUUUUUACAAGGAUGACCAUGGCUUCCAGCCUUGAUCACAUCACCCACCUCCACGAGCACCCACAUCCACCCACAUUCUUUAGGUAAGAGAAGCUACGAGGCACACCUUCCCUGUGCCACUGUGGGACCCUUCCCCAGAGUACCACUGACUUGCCUGUGGUUGUUCUCAUUGGUGUGUGGUUGUCAUCAUGCAACUUGACUUGCAUGAACGAGUCUUGCUCUUAGGGAAGACCCAUCUUAGAAAUAAGAGGGAUUUGACCAGAAAAAACCUUUUCAAGAGAGAGGUCUAAAGCAGCAAGACAUUAACACCAACUUAAACUCAAGAGCUUCAGGAUGAUAAAUCUGCUUAUGGGUUCAUAAAGCAAUCACCAGCUCAAGGUUAUGGGAAACAGAGAGAAGAUCAAGCCUCUCUCAGCUGCAUUAGGCUACCUGAUUACUGUAUUAUUAACCUCUCUGCACUUGGGAUUCGAAACCCCCUCAAAGUAAGGUGUGUUGGUUGCUCAAGUGUAGAGUGGGCAUUUGGCAGUUCUGCAGCCCAGAAUUCAUCCCCUCCAUUUCUGUUAGGGCCAGUUUCUCUUCAGGGACCUCUGCCCCAUCACUCAGCUCUUGUGACUUAUGCUCCAUCUCCCACAAUGGUCCGUCUCUCUGGCGGAGGAAACAUGUGAUCUUACACCUGGUCAGUCAAAGCGGUGUGAACCCCGGGCAUCACGAUUAUUGGAAGCUGAGUUUGUGCGCCCAUUGGAACUAGUGACAUGAAGUCUCUGAGAUUUUAAAAUUUUGCUUGAACUUGGGAGGAUGUAGGUCUGAAGCUGCUUGCAGCCAUCUUGGCACCACGUGGAAUCUAAGCAUGAAACCCACAUUCCUGGGGAUGGAACCACAAGACAGAAAAAAAUGGAGACCCAGUGAUAUCAUUUUAAAAGUUCCAGAAGCCAGCCAAGCCUGAAUUCCUUGCCACUUCGAACUUAGGCCUGAACGAGUAAAUUUCCCCUCUGUUCUUUUUCCCACUCGAGCUGGCUUGCUUUUGUAGUUUUUGCCAGUUGCAAACAGGAGAGUUUUAACUGUUGUGGGCUCUCAUUAGUACUUUCAGAUCACCACGGGGGACUCAGGGUGUGCACACCAAUGGGACUUGGAUGAAGCGUUGCCAUCCUCCUUCUUUCUGCUCCUGGGAGCCCUGGCAGCGAGCACAGGAAAGGGAGAGAAUAAUGCGAUGUAAGAACAUGGAUAAAACGUAUGCGACGCUGCAGAGAGAGGGCUGUGUUGUCACGGCAGACGACACCACUAUCUUGUCACCACAUGGCCUUUCCUUGUUUCAAAGACAUUUCCCCCACUCCCCCACAUCCUUUUUUUUUUUUUUUCCCAUGAGAGUGUUCAAGAAAAUAAGAUCAUUACAUACGUCAUCAUGAAAGAAGGCACCUGGCUUUUGAAAGAUGAGAUUUCUUCGUUUCCGUCCCCUCCGUGGCUCGAUUCCACCACUUGAAAAUGAAGGCCCACUUAGUCCAAUUACUCUUCUAAGAAGCAGUGAUGUUUUGAUCUUGAAUUCCUCUCUCCGGGCUACGGUGGGAGGGUAGUGGAUGAGCAAGCCUCUAAAAUUGAAUAGCGGAAGUAAACACAGGCUAGGUUUUUCUCUGGUCCCCUCAGUGAUGGCCACCCUGCUCUAACAUUCAGCUCAGGUUGCAGCUGCCAGACACAUGAACGUGAGCCAGAAGGCACAGGGAGGCGGAGGCGUGAGGCUGCACCCAGGAGAAAUCAGGCUGUGGACCAGUAGGGCUUGUGAUCACAAUUGAUGCUGCCUUCUCCAGCUUUGGGAUUCCGGGCGGGUGCUUCCUCCGGGCCUGCCGUCUGAGUCACCAUCUCUAUAGUUCUGGCAGAAAUGCAACAAUUCAGGGAAAACGAGGCUGGUGGAUGGUUUGCCACCCUUUCGCAAGGCCGGGCAAAGUGCGUUGGGGUUGAAUUGCUUUAGGUCGGGAGCAUCAUCUUUUCAUGGCUGCGAAGUGAGGGGUGUGUGGGAACAGCCAGAGCCCUGAGCGCUGUCUGCUCUGUCAUCCUUUAUGUGGACACUAAUCUAUUAAUUAGAAGGUUUGUCGUGACCAUGGGCGCUUUUUGCCUAUGUAUACUGGAGUUUCUAUUUAUUUGUUUUGAAUUAAAAAUGUUUUAUUCUGGU
rnacentral:lncRNA from 1 species